UAACCGUGGCUCAGUUCAGAUCGUAUGCUGCAACUCGCCUACGUGAAUGAGGAAUCGCUAGUAAUCGCAGGUCAGCAUACUGCGGUGAAUACGUUCCCGGGUCCUAGUACACACCGCCCGUCACACCAUGGUAAGUUGGCCUCGCCCUGAAGCCGUUACUCCAACCCUUGUGGAGGAGGACGUCGAAGGUGGGGCUGAUGACUGGGGUGAAGUCGUAUCAUGGUAGCCGUACCGGAAGGUGCGGAUGGAUCACCUCCUAUCA
rnacentral:rRNA from 1 species